rnacentral:rRNA from 1 species
AUUGAACGCUGGCGGCAUGCCUUCCACAUGCAAGUCGAACGGCAGCACGGGUGCUUGCACCUGGUGGCGAGUGGCGAACGGGUGAGUAAUCUCGCGGAACGUACCUGAUUGUGGGGGAUAACGCAGCGAACGCUGUGCUACUACCGCAUAAUCCCUAAGGGGGAAAGCGGGGGACCGUAAGGCCUCGCGCAAUUAGCGGGGACGAUACCUGUUUAGCUAGUUGGUGAGGUAAAGGAUCACCAAGGCAACGAUUAGGAGCUGGGCUGGGAGGACGAUCAGCCACACUGGGACGGAGACACGGCCCAGACGCCUACGGGAGGCAGCAGUGGGGAAUUUUGGACAAUGGGGGCAACCCUGAUCCAGCAAUGCCGCGUGAGUGAAGAAGGCCUUCGGGUUGUAAAGCUCUUUUGUCAGGGAAGAAACAGCAGCUCUAACACAGUUUGCGAAUGACGGUACCUGAAGAAUAAGCACCGGCUAACUACGUGCCAGCCGCCGCAGUAA